rnacentral:rRNA from 1 species
UGCCUACGGGGGGCAGCAGUGGGGAAUAUUGGGCAAUGGGCGCAAGCCUGACCCGGCAACGCCGCGUGAAGGAAGAAGGCUUUCGGGUUGUAAACUUCUUUUCUCAGGGACGAAGCAAGUGACGGUACCUGAGGAAUAAGCCACGGCUAACUACGUGCCAGCAGCCGCGGUAAUACGUAGGUGGCAAGAGUUAUCCGGAUUUACUGGGUGUAAAGGGCGUGUAGGCGGGGACGCAAGUCAGAUGGGAAAACCACGGGCUCAACCAGUGGCCUGCAUAUGAAACUGUGUUUCUU